UUAAUUGAAGAGUUUGAUCAUGGCUCAGAUUGAACGCUGGCGGCAGGCCUAACACAUGCAAGUCGAGCGGCAGCGACAACAUUGAGAUUUGUUGGGCGGCGAGCGGCGGACGGGUGAGUAAUGCCUGGGAAUAUGCCUUAGUGUGGGGGAUAACUAUUGGAAACGAUAGCUAAUACCGCAUAAUGCCUACGGGCCAAAGAGGGGGACCUUCGGGCCUCUCGCGCUAAGAUUAGCCCAGGUGGGAUUAGCUAGUUGGUGGGGUAASGGCUCACCAAGGCGACGAUCCCUAGCUGGUCUGAGAGGAUGAUCAGCCACACUGGAACUGAGACACGGUCCAGACUCCUACGGGAGGCAGCAGUGGGGAAUAUUGCACAA
rnacentral:rRNA from 1 species